rnacentral:rRNA from 1 species
UACAGAGGGUGCGAGCGUUAAUCGGAGUUACUGGGCGUAAAGGGCGCGUAGGCGGUUGUAUAAGAUUGAUGUGAAAUCCCUGGGCUUAACCUAGGAACUGCAUCGAUGACUGUACGACUAGAGUACUGUAGAGGGUAGUGGAAUUUCCGGUGUAGCGGUGAAAUGCGUAGAGAUCGGAAGGAACACCAGUGGCGAAGGCGGCUACCUGGACAGAUACUGACGCUGAGGCGCGAGAGCGUGGGGAGCAAACAGG